AGCUCCAAUAGCGUAUAUUAAAGUUGUUGCAGUUAAAAAGCUCGUAGUUGGAUUUCUGGUAGGAGCGACCGUGCCGAACUUGAUUGUUCGAGUAUUGUGUUGUCUUCAGCCAUCCUCGUGGAGAACUUUUCUAACAUUAACUUGUUGGGAUUGGGACCCGCGUCGUUUACUGUGAAAAAAUUAGAGUGUUUAAAGCAGGCAUUAGCUUGAAUACAUUAGCAUGGAAUAAUAAGAUAGGACUUUGGUACUAUUUUGUUGGUUUGCAUACCAAAUUAAUGAUCAACAGGAACAGUUUGAGGAUAUUCGUAUGAACAUGUCAGAGGUGAAAUUCUUGGAUUUUGAUCAGACGAACUACUGCGAAAGCAUUUAUCAAGGAUGUUUUCAUUAAUCAAGAACGAAA
rnacentral:rRNA from 1 species